rnacentral:misc_RNA from 1 species
CUUGAUUUUGCAGCAGAUCAAACUGAACGGAGACUCAUCUUUCCUUCAGGCGGUGUUCUUGUGACUAAUGGGAGCUUACAUAGCAAGAUUAUCGAAAUGAUCUCUUCAAAUUCAUCAGUUCUUUGACAGGCUUUUGGCAUUAUUGUGACAAAAUCAAUAGUCAGAUACUAAUGAAGAUUUCCUCCAAUUCAUCAAUUGUUUAAUGACACUUGCAUUCUUUUGACGAAUCACAGCAUAUAGAAG